GACGUGGGGCGCGAGCGUUGUCCGGAUUUAUUGGGCGUAAAGAGCUCGUAGGCGGCUUGUCGCGUCGUUCGUGAAAACUUGGGGCUCAACCCCAAGCUUGCGGUCGAUACGGGCAGGCUGGAGUUCGGUAGGGGAGACUGGAAUUCCUGGUGUAGCGGUGAAAUGCGCAGAUAUCGGGAGGAACACCUAUGGCGAAGGCAGCUCGCUGGGACGUUACUGACGCUGAGACGCGAAAGCGUGGGGAGCAAACAGG
rnacentral:rRNA from 1 species